rnacentral:rRNA from 1 species
UGCCAGCCGCCGCGGUAAUACGUAGGGUCCAAACGUUGUCCGGAUUUACUGGGUGUAAAGGGUGCGCAGGCGGACUGGUUAGUCAGGGGUGAAAUCCCGCAGCUUAACUGCGGAACUGCCUUUGAUACUGCCAGUCUUGAGUACGGGAGAGGUAGAUGGAAUUUCUGGUGUAGCGGUGAAAUGCGUAGAUAUCAGAAAGAACACCAGUGGCGAAGGCGACACCCUGGACCAAUACUGACACUGAGGUGCGAAAGCGUGGGGAGCAAACAGGAUUAGAUA